AUGAACGUUGGCGGCAUGGAUUAGGCAUGCAAGUCGCACGAAUCCCAGCAAUGGGGGAAGUGGCGUAAGGGGCAGUAAGGCAUGGGUGACCUACCCGGGGGUUGGGCAUAGCCUGUAGAAAUACAGGGUAAUUCCCGAUGAUGUCGUAAGACCAAAGCUCCGGUGCCCUCGGAGGGGCCCAUGUGGUAUUAGCUAGUUGGUGAGGUAACGGCUCACCAAGGCGAAGAUGCCUAGCGGGUGUGAGAGCACGACCCGCGCCACUGGCACUGAGACACUGGCCAGACACCUACGGGUGGCUGCAGUCGAGAAUCUUCGGCAAUGGGCGCAAGCCUGACCGAGCGAUGCCGCGUGGGCGACGAAGGCCUUCGGGUUGUAAAGCCCUGUCGAGGGGGAGAAAAGGGCAACCUUGAUCUAUCCCUGGAGGAAGGACGGGCUAAGUUCGU
rnacentral:rRNA from 1 species